GCGAGCAGGCGCGUGUGACGUCGGGAGGCGCCGCGGCUCCUCGGCCGCCCCACUCGGUGGUCCCCUGUCUGGAUCCAAACUGCUGACUGGCUGACCCGAGUGGUCACAUUUGCCCUCUGGGGCUUUUGAAAACCUUAAAUCAAAAUUGCUUUUGAAUCUGACAACUCCUGAGGCUACUUUCGCGGCCUCGGGGCUGUUUCAUAUAAGGACGCGAGUUUUCCUGAUCAGGUCUGUCGGCCACGUUACGAUUUCCAAUUUGCGAUCCAUCAGUUACUUCCAUUGGGUCUUCAGCCCCCAGGGACUGUGGAUCCUAGACCCCGCGGAGAAGCCCGUGGACUGGAGCUGUGUCAGCUCUGAUGGAACAAAAACGGAGGCACAGAGAGGUCAAUUGAUUGGUCUAAUGACACAGAUCUAGCAAGUGGUGGAACCAGGACUGAAUCCAGAGAAUCUGGAAGACUACUCUGCCAAGACAUCUCAAAAAGUGUGUGUCCGGAAUUGGUGGGUUCUUGGUCUCACUGACUUCAAGAAUGAAGCCGCGGACCCUUGCGGAACUGUGAAGACUAGAGUGACCUUGGAGAUCUCAUCUGGAAGAUGGUAGAACUGCUAUCAGCCUGGCUUCCCAAAUGACCUCCUGGAUCACAGCUACCCAUGGCCUGAAAUGUUGACCUUGGAGUUGUUGCAUAGGAAAGAAAUAAACUUCUUUGUUC
rnacentral:lncRNA from 1 species